GGCUCAGGAUGAACGCUAGCGGCAGGCUUAAUACAUGCAAGUCGUGGGGCAGCAUGAGUAGUCAAUACUUGAUGGCGACCGGCAAACGGGUGAGGAACACGUACACAACCUUCCUUCAAGCGGGGAAUAGCCCAGAGAAAUUUGGAUUAAUACCCCAUAAUAUAUUUGAUAAGGCAUCUUAUUAAUAUUAAAGCUUCGGCACUUGAUGAUGGGUGUGCGGCUGAUUAGAUAGUUGGCGGGGUAACGGCCCACCAAGUCUACGAUCAGUAGCUGAUGUGAGAGCAUGAUCAGCCACACGGGCACUGAGACACGGGCCCGACUCCUACGGGAGGCAGCAGUAAGGAAUAUUGGACAAUGGACGAAAGUCUGAUCCAGCCAUGCCGCGUGAAGGAUUAAGGUCCUCUGGAUUGUAAACUUCUUUUAUAUGGGACGAAAAAAGGGCAUUCUUGUUCACUUGACGGUACCAUAUGAAUAAGCACCGGCUAACUCCGUG
rnacentral:rRNA from 1 species